rnacentral:rRNA from 2 species
AGUUGCAGGGUAUAGACCCGAAACCCGGUGAUCUAGCCAUGGGCAGGUUGAAGGUUGGGUAACACUAACUGGAGGACCGAACCGACUAAUGUUGAAAAAUUAGCGGAUGACUUGUGGCUGGGGGUGAAAGGCCAAUCAAACCGGGAGAUAGCUGGUUCUCCCCGAAAGCUAUUUAGGUAGCGCCUCGUGAACUCAUCUUCGGGGGUAGAGCACUGUUUCGACUAGGGGGUCAUCCCGACUUACCAACUCGAUGCAAACUACGAAUACCGAAGAAUGUUAUCACGGGAGACACACGGCGGGUGCUAACGUUCGUCGUGAAGAGGGAAACAACCCAGACCGCCAGCUAAGGUCCCAAAGUCAUAGUUAAGUGGGAAACGAAGUGGGAAGGCUCAGACAGCCAGGAUGUUGGCUUAGAAGCAGCCAUCAUUUAAAGAAAGCGUAAUAGCUCACUGGUCGAGUCGGCCUGCGCGGAAGAUGUAACGGGGCUAAACUAUGCACCGAAGCUGCGGCAGCGA